GACGAACGCUGGCGGCGUGCUUAACACAUGCAAGUCGAACGGAAAGGCCCUGCUUUGGUGGGGUGCUCGAGUGGCGAACGGGUGAGUAACACGUGAGUUACCUGCCCUUGACUUUGGGAUAACUUCAGGAAGCUGGGUCUAAUACCGGAUAGGAGCUCCUGCUGCAUGGUGGGGGUUGGAAAGUUUAGGUGGUUGGGGAUGGACUCGCGGCUUAUCAGCUUGUUGGUGGGGUAGUGUCUUACCAAGGCUUUGACGGGUAGCCGGCCUGGGAGGGUGACCGGCCACAUUGGGACUGAGAUGCGGCACAGACUCCUACGGGAGGCAGCAGUGGGGAAUGUUGCACAAUGGGCGGAAGCCUGAUGCAGCAACGCCGCGUGCGGGAUGACGGCCUGCGGGUUGUAUACCGCUUUCGCCUGUGACGAAGCGUGAGUGACGGUAAUGGGUAAAGAAGCACCGGCUAACUACGUG
rnacentral:rRNA from 1 species